rnacentral:rRNA from 1 species
UACAGAGGGUGCAAGCGUUGUUCGGAAUUACUGGGCGUAAAGCGCGCGCAGGCGGUCUUCCAAGUCAGUGGUGAAAGCCCGGAGCUCAACUCCGGAAUUGCCAUUGAAACUGUGAGACUGGAGUACGAGAGAGGUGAGUGGAAUUCCCAGUGUAGAGGUGAAAUUCGUAGAUAUUCGCAAGAACACCAGUGGCGAAGGCGGCUGUCUGGUCCGGUUCUGACGCUGAGGCGCGAAAGCGUGGGGAGCAAACAGGG